CCGCCCGUCACAUCACGAAAGUGGAUUGUACUAGAAGCCUGUAUGCCGACCCGCAAGGGGGCAGCGGUCCAAGGUAUGAUUCAUGAUUGGGGUG
rnacentral:rRNA from 1 species